rnacentral:rRNA from 1 species
UACAGAGGCCCCAAGCGUUAGGCGGAAUCACUGGGCUUAAAGCGUGUGUAGGCGGGUCGUUAAGUACCUUGUGAAAUCCCACGGCUUAACCGUGGAACCGCUUGGUAUACUGGCGGUCUUGAGCCACUUAGGGGCUACCGGAACAAAUGGUGGAGCGGUGAAAUGCGUAGAUAUCAUUUGGAACGCCAAUGGUGAAAACAGGUAGCUGGGAGUGUGCUGACGCUGAGACACGAAAGCCAGGGGAGCAAACGGG